ACAUCUUGCUUCUGCUAAUUAUGCUUUUUAAGGCUCAUUUUCUCAAUUUAUUUGGCUUCUCUAAAUAUCAUCACAAAAGAUGUGAUUCCCCCCCCCCAAUAUUUUAUCCUGAAACUUUUCAAAAAUACAGAAAAGUUGAAAGAAUUUUAUACUGAAAACCGAUACCCAUUACCUACUUCUAACAUUAACAUUUUAUUAUACUUAAUCUAUCCAUCCCUCAAUUCAUCCAUUAAUCCAUCUUAAUUUUUGCA